GGGAGACACCAGAGGCGCACGUGUUCAAGGCGGACUUGCCGGGGCUGAAGAAGGAAGAAGUGAAGGUGGAGGUUGAAGAUGGCAACAUACUUCAGAUAAGUGGAGAGAGAAGCAGCGAGAAUGAAGAGAAGAGUGACAAGUGGCACCGUGUGGAGAGGUCAAGUGGGAAGUUCAUGAGGAGGUUUAAGUUGCCGGAGAACGCGAAGGUAGAUGAAGUGAAAGCUUGUAUGGAGAACGGUGUGUUGUCGGUCACGGUGCCUAAGAUGCCUGAGAGGAAGCCUGAGGUCAAGUCUAUUGACAUCUCCGGCUAAAUAAGAUGGAAAAUCAGAGAUAAAACAAGAUAAAUAAGUAUGAUGAUGUGAAAUAAUGGGUGUGGA
rnacentral:lncRNA from 1 species